rnacentral:rRNA from 1 species
AGUAGUUUGAUCAUGGCUCGAGGACGAACGCUGGCGGCGUGCUUAACACAUGCAAGUCGAACGGGGAAUUAAAAAGCUUGCUUUUUAAUUCCUAGUGGCAAACGGGUGAGUAACGCGUAGACAACCUGCCAUAAAGAUUGGGACAACAGCUCGAAAGAGCUGCUAAUACCAAAUGUUGCAGUAUUUUCGCAUGAAGGUAAUGUUAAAGAUGGCCUCUAUUUAUAAGCUAUCGCUUUAUGAUGGGUCUGCGUCCGAUUAGCUGGUUGGGGAGGUAACGGCUCACCAAGGCGACGAUCCUUAGGGGUUCUGAGAGGAAGGUCCCCCACACUGGUACUGAGACACGGACCAGACUCC